rnacentral:tRNA from 1 species
UUUAGGGAGACCCAAAGCAAUUCAAAAUGAUCAAUUCAAAAUUCAAAAUAAAGAGUAAAACUUUUGAAUUUUGAACUUUGAACUUUGAAUUGAUUUUAUCCCGAGGUCGGUCGCAAGGAGAGUGUAAGUUUUCAAACUAUAACUUAGGUUCGGAUAUGGGCUAUUAGCUCAGGUGGUUAGAGCGCACCCCUGAUAAGGGUGAGGUCCCUGGUUCGAGUCCAGGAUGGCCCACCUGAAGAGAAUUCAAAAGUCAAAAUUCAGAAUUCAAAAAUAGAAAAUUCAUCUUAAUUUUGAACAAUGUAAUUGAUAAUUUUGAAUUGUAGUAGGGGGGUAUAGCUCAGUUGGUAGAGCGCCUGCUUUGCAAGCAGGAUGUCAGGAGUUCGAGUCUCCUUACCUCCACCUGCGCCCUAAGUAAUUAACUUUUGUGAUUCCACCCUUGUUGAGUGUGCUCAAAUACCAUCAAAAAAAGGUAGAGUGCACGCAAGUGAGAAAAGCAAAAGCAAGUUUAUAAUCCGAAAAGAAAUUGGAGAAAAUUCAGCAUCUUGUGAGUCAAAGCAAGAAUGCUGGGGUAUUUCCAGCAAAAGAACCUUGAAAACUGCAUAGAAACGUGAAAUUUGUCAGGUAGUUAACUAUCAACAGUAGUUAACACUUCCAUAAAAAGUAGCAAUGAUUGUUUGU